rnacentral:lncRNA from 1 species
ACCUUCCGGGGAUACAGCCAAAGGAGGAUCCUUUGCUUCAGAUGAUCCUGGAUCAUGGAGCCAUGAAGAUGUUGAUAGUUGGAUAUCAGGAACAGAUGAUGUCAAUCACUAAUGGGUCACAGUUGACCAGGGGAAACUAAAAUCAUGGGAAACAAAACCAUGGAUAAGGCAGUACUACUGUAUACAGUAUCAGCCAUGGAUAAAAAAAUGUUUGAAAAGUUUAAAAGAAUGGUUGUUUCUGUACUGAACAGGUUAGGUGUUCAAGCUGUGUUAAAUCACAUCCCUGAUGUUUAUGUGGUCAGGAUAUGUGCCCUUGAGUGACCAAGCAGAAGAAAAUGUGUAAUAAAAUACUUGACUUGGAAUAUUUAACUGCAUCUUCAAUGUUAGCUAAAUACACCUCUAACGUAUUGAAGGAAAAAAUUCAAACCAGACAGAGAGGACUG